rnacentral:tRNA from 1 species
CAAAAUGUAACUAAAUUAGCAAAGCGCCUCCCUUACACCGAGGAAACACCCGUGCAAUUCGGGUCAUUUUGA